GGGCCGGCAGGGCGGGGGUGGCCAGCCCUGCCCGCGGGCGAUACAGGGCGGCUCGGCCGGGCCGAUAGCUGGGGUCCUCCGGGAUGGGACACAGCCCGAUAGCUGGGGUCCUCCGGGAUGGGACACAGCCCGAUAGCUGGGGUCCUCCGGGAUGGGACACAGCCCGAUAGCUGGGGUCCUGCCGGGAUGGGACACAGUCCAAGGGCUCGGGGUCCUGCCGGGAUGGGACACAGCCCGAGGGCUCGGGAGCGGGGCAGCCCCGACUGUGCCAACGCUGUGCCCUGACGCUGUUUGCCACCCGGUCACAGCCGGGAAACCCGCCCGGCUCCCUCAGCACCAUCGCUCUUGCCCUCCCUUCCUUCCCCCACCGACCGUGCCCCCCCCGCUGCCCCCCCGAUGUCCCCUCCAGCCCAGGGCUCCCGUGGGCUCCUCUGCAGCCCAGGGGGAGGGUCUGGGGGAAGCCACGGGCUGGACCCUCUUGCCAGGAGCCCGUGUCCCUGCCUGCUGAGGAGAUGGAACCCCAGCGAGGCCUGAGAGCAAAGCACGGAGGAAAACCCCUGCCCACAGCGAGCCUGUCCUGGAAACGGCCUGUCUGGAAUGAAAAAAGCUGCUUUUGUCUGUUUCUGGGUGGGUUUGCCCGAGUACUUGUGGGAGGGAUAACUCAGAAGCUGUCUAAUUAAAUUCCAGCUUUUCCCUGGA